AUUGAACGCUGGCGGCAUGCCUUACACAUGCAAGUCGAACGGCAGCAUAGGAGCUUGCUCCUGAUGGCGAGUGGCGAACGGGUGAGUAAUAUAUCGGAACGUGCCCUAGAGUGGGGGAUAACUAGUCGAAAGACUAGCUAAUACCGCAUACGAUCUACGAAUGAAAGUGGGGGAUCGCAAGACCUCAUGCUCCUGGAGCGGCCGAUAUCUGAUUAGCUAGUUGGUGGGGUAAAAGCUCACCAAGGCGACGAUCAGUAGCUGGUCUGAGAGGACGACCAGCCACACUGGGACUGAGACACGGCCCAGACUCCUACGGGAGGCAGCAGUGGGGAAGUUUGGACAAUGGGGGCAACCCUGAUCCAGCAAUGCCGCGUGAGAGAAGAAGGCCUUCGGGUUGUAAAGCUCUUUUGUCAGGGAAGAAACGGUUCUGGAUAAUACCUGGAGCUAAUGACGGUACCUGAAGAAUAAGCACCGGCUAACUACGUGCCAGCCGCCGCGGUAA
rnacentral:rRNA from 1 species